CACAUGCAGUCGAGCGGUAGCACAGAGAGCUUGCUCUCGGGUGACGAGCGGCGGACGGGUGAGUAAUGUCUGGGAAACUGCCUGAUGGAGGGGGAUAACUACUGGAAACGGUAGCUAAUACCGCAUAACGUCGCAAGACCAAAGUGGGGGACCUUCGGGCCUCAUGCCAUCAGAUGUGCCCAGAUGGGAUUAGCUAGUAGGUGGGGUAAUGGCUCACCUAGGCGACGAUCCCUAGCUGGUCUGAGAGGAUGACCAGCCACACUGGAACUGAGACACGGUCCAGACUCCUACGGGAGGCAGCAGUGGGGAAUAUUGCACAAUGGGCGCAAGCCUGAUGCAGCCAUGCCGCGUGUAUGAAGAAGGCCUUCGGGUUGUAAAGUACUUUCAGCGAGGAGGAAGGCAUUAAGGUUAAUAACCUUAGUGAUUGACGUUACUCGCAGAAGAAGCACCGGCUAACUCCGUGCCAGCAGCCGCGGUAAUACGGAGGGUGCAAGCGUUAAUCGGAAUUACUGGGCGUAAAGCGCACGCAGGCGGUCUGUUAAGUCAGAUGUGAAAUCCCCGGGCUCAACCUGGGAACUGCAUUUGAACUGGCAGGCUU
rnacentral:rRNA from 1 species